GGAGAAAUGGCAGAGUGGUCGAUUGCGGCGGUCUUGAAAACCGUUGAGGUGUCAAAGCCUCCGGGGGUUCGAAUCCCUCUUUCUCCGCCA
rnacentral:tRNA from 2 species